AACGGACCCGUUCACGGGUGGCUUCUCCGGGCGCCUAUCCCCCGGCAACCC
rnacentral:ncRNA from 1 species